ensembl:lncRNA
AAGUGAUCUAGUUUCAUUCUUUUACAAGUGGUUGGCCAGUUUUCCCAGCACCACUUGUUAAAGAGAUUGUCUUUACUCCAUUGUGUAUUCUUGCCUCCUUUGUCAAAGAUAAGGUGUCCAUAUGUGUGUGGAUUUAUCUCUGGGCUUUCUAUUUUGUUCCAUUGAUCUAUAUGUCUGUCUUUGUGCCAGUACCAUUCUGUCUUGAUGACUGUGGCUUUGUAGUAGAGCCUGAAGAAAACAUAGGCAAAACACUCUCCGACAUAAAUCACAGCAGGAUCCUCUAUGAUCCACCUCCCAGAAU